AGGGUUUGAUUUCCCCUAAAUGAUCCACUUAUCUGACCUAUCACAGAGGAGUGGAAUAAAGUGGCAACAACAACCUACCAGCUGAUCCUCCUGUGCUGAUCCAGUCCGGGUUGACGAUGCUGGCGAUGGCAAAGAUGUCUGCAGCGAGGAAGAGGCAUCCUGAUAUCACGGCAAACCAACUCAUCUCUUCAUUCUCAGACCCAAAACCACACUGUCUAGACCCAGCCAACCUGUCCUCAUCACUCCCCCAACAUACAUGGAUAUCCUUUAAGGAGUGGGCAGCCCCUGGAGAGAGCUUGAGGCCAGCAAGGGGCUGGGCAAGGGACUGGCCUGUUCUGGCAGCAACAUGGAACCGUCUCUGUGGAGAAGACAGCAACAGAAAUCAACAAACACUGACCUGCACAUCCUGCGGCUGAAACUUAACGUGUUCGCCGGCCCCAGUGAACUCCACCUUACGGGCAGCCUGGGCCGCGUAAAGCCUCGUCUGGGAAAAUGGAGAACAUGGAAAGGCGGGACAUUACAAUUAAUGUGUUGCUGGCUUGCGGACUGAUGCAAGGGCAGUUUGAGGAGGAGGGAAAUCAGAUGCAUGUAAAAGAUUUUGAAAUGAUGGGAUCAGUUAUAUUUUCUUGACAUGAUUUAGCAUUCUCAUACACAACAUACUUUCACAAAAAUAAUAAUUGUAUUUAGUUUGUAUAUGCUUACUCAAAUAGUACAUAGAGUGUAGCUGCCUUGGUGCUGUUGAAAUACUGUACGUCUUCUAGUUCUAAUUCUUCAUUUUGUUACAACUCUUACAGUAAACCAUACACAGAGCUGAUAUUCU